rnacentral:lncRNA from 1 species
UCUUCAUCACCUCGACGAUUUCUCUUUUGCCUUUCCACUCCGCAUUACGAACAGCCUGCGCAUGAUCACGAGUAAGCUGCGCCUCUCACUCCAGCAUCUCGCCUUGCACGCGAGCAAGAUCCCGCUCCGCUUUCUCCGCCUUGAAACUGUAGACCAUGGCUUCUCUAUGGCCCGCCUCAAUGGCCGAGCCCAGCAAGCUCAGGCCCUGCAAAAUCGAUUGGCAUGUUAUAAAUAUAUACAUGGGACCAUCAUCAAAAAAUUCUCAAAAAAAAAAAUAACCCCAUUGAUGAUGCG